rnacentral:rRNA from 1 species
GACAGAGGGUGCAAACGUUGUUCGGAAUUACUGGGCGUAAAGCGUGCGCAGGCGGUUAUGCAAGACAGAUGUGAAAUCCCCGGGCUCAACCUGGGAACUGCAUUUGUGACUGCAUGGCUGGAGUGCGGCAGAGGGGGAUGGAAUUCCGCGUGUAGCAGUGAAAUGCGUAGAUAUGCGGAGGAACACCGAUGGCGAAGGCAAUCCCCUGGGCCUGCACUGACGCUCAUGCACGAAAGCGUGGGGAGCAAACAGG